GGUUAAGCGACUAAGCGUACACGGUGGAUGCCCUGGCAGUCAGAGGCGAUGAAGGACGUGCUAAUCUGCGAUAAGCGCCGGUAAGGUGAUAUGAACCGUUAUAACCGGCGAUUUCCGAAUGGGGAAACCCAGUGUGACUCGUCACACUAUCAUUAACUGAAUCCAUAGGUUAAUGAGGCGAACCGGGGGAACUGAAACAUCUAAGUACCCCGAGGAAAAGAAAUCAACCGAGAUUCCCCCAGUAGCGGCGAGCGAACGGGGAGGAGCCCAGAGCCUGAAUCAGCAUGUGUGUUAGUGGAAGCGUCUGGAAAGGCGCGCGAUACAGGGUGACAGCCCCGUACACAAAAAGCGCAUGUGCUGUGAGCUCGAUGAGUAGGGCGGGACACGUGGUAUCCUGUCUGAAUAUGGAAAUUCAUCCUCCAAGGCUAAAUACUCCUGACUGACCGAUAGUGAACCAGUACCGUGAGGGAAAGGCGAAAAGAACCCCGGCGAGGGGGAGUGAAAAAGAACCUGAAACCGUGUACGUACAAGCAGUGGGAGCACAGGUUUACCUGUGUGACUGCGUACCUUUUGUAUAAUGGGUCAGCGACUUAUAUUCUGUAGCAAGGUUAACCGAAUAGGGGAGCCGGAGGGAAACCGAGUCUUAACCGGGCGUUAAGUUGCAGGGUAUAGACCCGAAACCCGGUGAUCUAGCCAUGGGCAGGUUGAAGGUUGGGUAACACUAACUGGAGGACCGAACCGACUAAUGUUGAAAAAUUAGCGGAUGACCUGUGGCUGGGGGUGAAAGGCCAAUCAAACCGGGAGAUAGCUGGUUCUCCCCGAAAGCUAUUUAGGUAGCGCCUCGUGAAUUCAUCUCCGGGGGUAGAGCACUGUUUCGGCUAGGGGGCCAUCCCGGCUUACCAACCCGAUGCAAACUGCGAAUACCGGAGAAUGUUAUCACGGGAGACACACGGCGGGUGCUAACGUCCGUCGUGAAGAGGGAAACAACCCAGACCGCCAGCUAAGGUCCCAAAGUCAUGGUUAAGUGGGAAACGAUGUGGGAAGGCCCAGACAGCCAGGAUGUUGGCUUAGAAGCAGCCAUCAUUUAAAGAAAGCGUAAUAGCUCACUGGUCGAGUCGGCCUGCGCGGAAGAUGUAACGGGGCUAAACCAUGCACCGAAGCUGCGGCAGCGAACGUAUCACUUAAAGCGAUUCAGCGGGUUACGAUUGACGGAGCGAAGCGACGUCAAAGCGUAUACAAAGUCGAGUCGGUUUAAGGAUACGUUCGUUGGGUAGGGGAGCGUUCUGUAAGCCUGUGAAGGUGUGUCGUGAGGCAUGCUGGAGGUAUCAGAAGUGCGAAUGCUGACAUAAGUAACGAUAAAGCGGGUGAAAAGCCCGCUCGCCGGAAGACCAAGGGUUCCUGUCCAACGUUAAUCGGGGCAGGGUGAGUCGACCCCUAAGGCGAGGCCGAAAGGCGUAGUCGAUGGGAAACGGGUUAAUAUUCCCGUACUUGGUGUUACUGCGAAGGGGGGACGGAGAAGGCUAUGUUGGCCGGGCGACGGUUGUCCCGGUUUAAGCGUGUAGGUGUGUGUUCCAGGUAAAUCCGGUUCACUUUAACACUGAGGCGUGAUGACGAGGCACUACGGUGCUGAAGCAACAAAUGCCCUGCUUCCAGGAAAAGCCUCUAAGCAUCAGGUAACAUCAAAUCGUACCCCAAACCGACACAGGUGGUCAGGUAGAGAAUACCAAGGCGCUUGAGAGAACUCGGGUGAAGGAACUAGGCAAAAUGGUGCCGUAACUUCGGGAGAAGGCACGCUGACAUGUAGGUGAAGUGAUUUACUCAUGGAGCUGAAGUCAGUCGAAGAUACCAGCUGGCUGCAACUGUUUAUUAAAAACACAGCACUGUGCAAACACGAAAGUGGACGUAUACGGUGUGACGCCUGCCCGGUGCCGGAAGGUUAAUUGAUGGGGUCAGCGCAAGCGAAGCUCCUGAUCGAAGCCCCGGUAAACGGCGGCCGUAACUAUAACGGUCCUAAGGUAGCGAAAUUCCUUGUCGGGUAAGUUCCGACCUGCACGAAUGGCGUAAUGAUGGCCAGGCUGUCUCCACCCGAGACUCAGUGAAAUUGAACUCGCUGUGAAGAUGCAGUGUACCCGCGGCAAGACGGAAAGACCCCGUGAACCUUUACUAUAGCUUGACACUGAACAUUGAGCCUUGAUGUGUAGGAUAGGUGGGAGGCUUUGAAGCGUGGACGCCAGUCUGCGUGGAGCCGACCUUGAAAUACCACCCUUUAAUGUUUGAUGUUCUAACGUGGACCCGUAAUCCGGGUUGCGGACAGUGUCUGGUGGGUAGUUUGACUGGGGCGGUCUCCUCCUAAAGAGUAACGGAGGAGCACGAAGGUUGGCUAAUCCUGGUCGGACAUCAGGAGGUUAGUGCAAUGGCAUAAGCCAGCUUGACUGCGAGCGUGACGGCGCGAGCAGGUGCGAAAGCAGGUCAUAGUGAUCCGGUGGUUCUGAAUGGAAGGGCCAUCGCUCAACGGAUAAAAGGUACUCCGGGGAUAACAGGCUGAUACCGCCCAAGAGUUCAUAUCGACGGCGGUGUUUGGCACCUCGAUGUCGGCUCAUCACAUCCUGGGGGCUGAAGUAGGUCCCAAGGGUAUGGCUGUUCGCCAUUUAAAGUGGUACGCGAGCUGGGUUUAGAACGUCGUGAGACAGUUCGGUCCCUAUCUGCCGUGGGCGCUGGAGAACUGAGGGGGGCUGCUCCUAGUACGAGAGGACCGGAGUGGACGCAUCACUGGUGUUCGGGUUGUCAUGCCAAUGGCACUGCCCGGUAGCUAAAUGCGGAAGAGAUAAGUGCUGAAAGCAUCUAAGCACGAAACUUGCCCCGAGAUGAGUUCUCCCUGAGACUUAGAGUCUCCUGAAGGAACGUUGAAGACGACGACGUUGAUAGGCCGGGUGUGUAAGCGCAGCGAUGCGUUGAGCUAACCGGUACUAAUGAACCGUGAGGCUUAACCUU
rnacentral:rRNA from 1 species